rnacentral:rRNA from 1 species
AUUGAACGCUGGCGGCAGGCCUAACACAUGCAAGUCGAGCGGAUGAAGGGAGCUUGCUCCUGGAUUCAGCGGCGGACGGGUGAGUAAUGCCUAGGAAUCUGCCUGGUAGUGGGGGAUAACGUCCGGAAACGGGCGCUAAUACCGCAUACGUCCUGAGGGAGAAAGUGGGGGAUCUUCGGACCUCACGCUAUCAGAUGAGCCUAGGUCGGAUUAGCUAGUUGGUGGGGUAAAGGCCUACCAAGGCGACGAUCCGUAACUGGUCUGAGAGGAUGAUCAGUCACACUGGAACUGAGACACGGUCCAGACUCCUACGGGAGGCAGCAGUGGGGAAUAUUGGACAAUGGGCGAAAGCCUGAUCCAGCCAUGCCGCGUGUGUGAAGAAGGUCUUCGGAUUGUAAAGCACUUUAAGUUGGGAGGAAGGGCAGUAAGUUAAUACCUUGCUGUUUUGACGGUACCGACAGAAUAAGCACCGGCUAACUUCGUG